rnacentral:rRNA from 1 species
UACGUAGGCAGCGAGCGUUGUUCGGAAUUACUGGGCGUAAAGAGUGUGUAGGCGGUGUUCCCAGUCUGUUGUGAAAUCUCCCGGCUUAACUGGGGAGGGGUGCAGCGGAAACUAGAAUGCUAGAGGGUGGGAGAGGUAAGCGGAAUUCCUGGUGUAGCGGUGAAAUGCGUAGAUAUCAGGAGGAACACCUGUGGUGUAGACAGCUUACUGGACCACUUCUGACGCUGAGACACGAAAGCGUGGGGAGCGAACAGG